UGCAUGAUCCUGCCAUAACUUAGGUUCACCCCAGAGCUACAUAUAUUGUACACUGUUUUUUUUUUUUUUUUUACAUUUUGCAAAUUCUUUUUCAUUUCUUGUGAUCGCGAGGUACUCGCAAGGACCUCGCGAUCACAAGAAAUGAAAAAGAAUUUGCAAAAUGUAAAAAAACAAAACAAAACAAAAAAAAAACAGUGUAAAAUAAACAAUAUAUGUAGCUCUGGGGUGAACCUAAGUUAUGGCUGGAUCAUGCA